UAGGGAAUCUUCCACAAUGGACGCAAGUCUGAUGGAGCAACGCCGCGUGAGUGAAGAAGGUUUUCGGAUCGUAAAGCUCUGUUGUUGGUGAAGAAGGAUACAGGCAGUAACUGGUCUUUAUUUGACGGUAAUCAACCAGAAAGUCACGGCUAACUACGUGCCAGCAGCCGCGGUAAUACGUAGGUGGCAAGCGUUAUCCGGAAUCAUUGGGCGUAAAGGGUGCGUAGGUGGCACGAUAAGUCUGAAGUAAAAGGCAACAGCUCAACUGUUGUAUGCUUUGGAAACUGUCGAGCUAGAGUGCCGGAGAGGUAAGCGGAAUUCCUAGUGUAGCGGUGAAAUGCGUAGAUAUUAGGAGGAACACCAGUGGCGAAGGCGGCUUACUGGACGGUAACUGACGUUGAGGCUCGAAAGCGUGGGGGAGCAAACAGGAUUAGAUACCC
rnacentral:rRNA from 1 species